GAUGAACGCUAGCUACAGGCUUAACACAUGCAAGUCGAGGGGAAACGAUAUUGGAAGCUUGCUUCCGAUAGGUGUCGACCGGCGCACGGGUGAGUAACGCGUAUCCAACCUGCCCGUCACUUGGGAAUAACCUUGCGAAAGUAAGACUAAUGCCCAAUGACAUUUAUAGAAGGCAUCGGAAAUGAAUUAAAGAUUUAUCGGUGAUGGAUGGGGAUGCGUCUGAUUAGCUUGUUGGCGGGGUAACGGCCCACCAAGGCAACGAUCAGUAGGGGUUCUGAGAGGAAGGUCCCCCACAUUGGAACUGAGACACGGUCCAAACUCCUACGGGAGGCAGCAGUGAGGAAUAUUGGUCAAUGGGCGAGAGCCUGAACCAGCCAAGUAGCGUGCAGGAUGACGGCCCUAUGGGUUGUAAACUGCUUUUAUAAGGGAUAAAGUGAGUCUCGUGAGACUUUUUGCAUGUACCUUAUGAAUAAGGACCGGCUAAUUCCGUGCCAGCAGCCG
rnacentral:rRNA from 1 species